rnacentral:lncRNA from 1 species
CACGAUAUGAAAUCACGACUUUAUUUUAAAAAAAACUGAACGCCAAGGAAAAACGAGGGGAAGGGAAUAAAAGAUAAAUAAAACUGAAAACAAUACGCGUCCCGCAAAGUAUCUGCUUAACGCGAAGUCGUUCAAACUCAUAGCAGGACGGAUGAAUUUUAGUGGGCAACUGAUUGGCGUCACAUAAAUGCGGACCUGAGUGAAGCCCAUGGGAUAAAUGCGGACUUGAGUGAAACCCACGGGAGGAAGUUCCGCACAGGAAUUUUGCAUAGGCUCGGAAGCAGCUCGCGCAGGACACCCGUGGUUCUUCAGGUAAUUUUGUGCUAUGACUGCAUUCAUCCUUGUUUGAGCAGAGACGGUCGCCGUUCGCUCCUGUUUCCAGUGAUAAUAAGUGGUUGUGUUUGCUUUUUGCUGGUUGGGGAAGAUGGAAGAACGCUUACGAAAGUUAGAUGAGAUCGGUGCAAGCAUCGUGACGCUGGUCCAGAGCUUUGUGGCUUUGAAAGAAGACUGGAAGUUUGAAGUGGAUAAUGAGUUUUCGACAAGUAGUGAUGCUGAAAGCAGCACUAAAGACGUCUGCAAUGAAAGACCUAAGGAAAAGGCAAAGCUGGGUCACCUUCUGCCAGUCCCACCUCAGCAUUCAGCUCAACAGAUGCAGGCAGAUGUCUCUCUGAGCUCUGUCUGUGCGGUACAAUCUGCAAUGAACGGAGCAGAGGCCACACCAAUGCUAGAUGCCAUCCUAAAGAACCGAGGUGUUCUCCAAAUGGUCUUGAUGAACCAGGAUGCACUGAAGAGUCGUAUGGAGAAGUUUCAAAAGACACUGUCUGCUGUUGAGGAAAAAGUCCAAACUAUUGAGAAACAGAUGGGUGCCCUUUCACAGCUCACGGAGGAACUUGAACAGGUGGAGAACGAUGUCAGCUGGGAUUGAAAAGUCCCUUCUAAGCAAUCAAACAACAACUCUGCUCAUCACUCACUAUAACUGGUUCACGUUUUGAAAUGUCAAUUUAUCAGCAAUGCUCUUGGGCCUCUAAAAGAGGACUAGAAUAAGAUUGUCAGUCCUGAUCUGAAAGGUUUUCAGCCAUAUUGGUUCAGUGUGAUCUGUUUGGCCUGCCUCUUUUCUCCUCGAUAGAGACAUGACUUGUUUUAAAAUAUGAUCUGUGUUGAUGUGGCAGCAAGGGCCCCGAGCGUCAACCUAAAAUGUCUCUUGUGCCAGAAUAUUAACUCUGGAGAACGCCCAGCUGGAAAUGCCUCUGGAAAAGGACUGCAGCCAAAGCAGAAAUUCAGGAGAGUUUUCUAGCAGCAAUUGCCAUUGCUUUGCUUUUCCUUCCUUUAGUUUGCAAAAAUACUACGCAACAGAUCAGUCUUUGCUGAGCAUGCCUUCACUUUCGCAACUCAAGGGUGCAGCAAGAGAGCUGAGGCCGGUGUGAAAUUCCGAGUUACUUGGGUUUCUGCAGCUCAAACCCUGCUAAGUAAAACAAGCAGAUGGAGCACUGGGCAAGAGAAAGUCACUCAAAGCUCCAACCCCUCUGAAAAUAAAAAUGUUGGUUUGCAAGAAAGGGAGGGGACA